GUUUGUUCCGCCUUUCUCUCGGCCUAGGGGGCGGCGGAGUGUUGGAGGCAUGACAGGAGCUGGCCUGGGACCUAUGCCAUGGGGACCUGCUGCAAUCACUGGAGAGCGCCUACCCUGCUGCUGCUGACCCAUCGCCAGCUGCUUUUUUUUGUAAAGGGUGGGGAGAAUGUUUAAUAAAACAUCAGAAAAAAUUUGUGAAACUUUAUUUCCUUAUUGUGCUCUCUAGCACUGCCUUUGAACUAGUGAAGUGUCCGGCUGAUGGCUUCACUGGCUAAGCAACAGUGCCACAGGAAAAAACUUGUUCAUAACUGGUGCUGCUUAGUUAAAAUCUGAGUGGCUCUUUUAAGAUCAAGUAACAACGUUAUUACUGCACCUCUUGAAUUUAAUUAUGGUCAUCAAUUAAGAUUUAAGCCCUCCCCUUUCUGAAUGAAAUUUCCUUUGUCUAGUGGCCCAGGACUUCUAUAUGGAGGACCUCUGAAAGACAUACCUGUGGGUGAUCAAAGUUAAUAUGAUCUCUAAACAGUUGCCAGACUUCUUUCCAUAGUGUGUCCCUAGGACCUUGGCACACCCUUUGUAGAAUUGACUCUGUGAUGGAGUAAAGGUAGCAUCAGGUAUACCACACUUGAAGUCUGGUGAUGUAUAAUAUACAAUUUUGUAUUAUGUAUAUGGGGUAGAUUAGAAUAGCCUGCAGCAAGUAGUCCCCCCUCUAUGAUGGCUAAACUUGUCCUGUCCUUGCAGUGAAGGAGGCAGACCUAGCUUAAGGGUGGUGCUCUCCCUGCCAUAUGGCCCCUGAACCAUCCUCUGUGCCUGUAGGGGGAAUGCCCUGCUGGGAAUUUAUAUAAGCAAUAAAAACAGGGUAAAUUAGCUAAAUAUUGGGUGAAAAGUGAAAUGCACUCAAAUGCUGGCAGGAUCUAAAAUAAAAUGUCCUCUUAUAGCCUUAUUUUGUUCAACUGAACAAAGCUGUUGCACAGUGGAAUAAGAUGCAGUAGACACUACACAGGUGAAGUGGAUAGGGAAAGAAUUUUUAAUCUCCCAUACAUAAAUUGGGUUGUUGUCCAAUUCUAUAGUAGCUUUAAGAUCGAUGUAUAGGGUUUUUCCCAAGUUUGGCUUCACUACUGUUUUCCUGCAACAUAGAUCAAGCAGAGGAAAGAAAGCUGUGUAAAGGGAAACAGUAUUUGAACCACACCACCUUGAGUGGAGCCCAGUGAUUAUUAAGGUUUUUCCUUGGCAGUUCUAAGGCAUCUUUCAAGGGUAGUAGACAUCUUGUCACUCAUGAUCAGUGAGUUUGUCCUUCCACCUCUGGUAAGGCAUACUGACUUGUAAGAGGAAGACUUGGCAGCAGCUAGAAUUGAGCUUAGGAGUAGACAAGGGGAUACACCUUUCAGAGAGAAGCCAUUUUUUGUCUUUGACCAAAAUAUUUUGAGAGCCACAUCACAUGUAAAGCUUAAAGAGUUAGAAUUUAUCAACUAAUAAUUGAACAUUAAAGUUUUACUACUCACCAAUA